rnacentral:rRNA from 1 species
UACAGAGACCUCAAGCGUUAUCCGGAAUCAUUGGGCGUAAAGCGUACCGAUCGGUGGUUUUGCAAGUCAGAAGUGAAAUUCCAAGGCUCAACCUUGGGACUGUCUUUUGAAACUGCAAAGCUAGAGGGGCAAAGAGGAAGCUGGAACGAACGGUGUAGUAGUGAAAUGCGUUGAUAUCGUUCGGAACACCAAUAGCGAAGGCAGGCUUCUGGGUGCCACCUGACACUGCUAGGACGAAAGCGUGGGGAGCGAAUGGG